rnacentral:rRNA from 1 species
CCCUUAGAUGUUCUGGGCUGCACGCGCGCUACACUGAUGCACUCAACGAGUUUCUGACCUUGUCCGAGAGGAUUGGGUAAUCUUUUUAAAAUGCAUCGUGAUGGGGAUAGAUUAUUGCAAUUAUUAAUCUUCAACGAGGAAUUCCUAGUAAGCGCGAGUCAUCAGCUCGUGCUGAUUACGUCCCUGCCCUUUGUACACACCGCCCGUCGCUCCUACCGAUUGGGUGUGCUGGUGAAAUGUUCGGAUCGGCCGUUUGUCGCGGUUUCCGCGGCUCGUGGCUGAGAAGUUCAUUAAACCCUCCCACCUAGAGGAAGGAGAAGUCGUAACA